GGCUCCCUGAGCGCGCACGUUGCAGAGUCUCCGCCGCGCCUAUCUGUCAGCUCCCGCACGUUGGCCGGAGUCUCGGGGACCUAGGCCCAUGUGGAAGCUGGUCCCCGCCGCGGGCCCUGCCCGAGAACCAUACAGACUUUUGACUGGUGUUGAGUACAUUGUUGGAAGAAAAAACUGUGGCAUUCUAAUUCAAGAUGAUCAGUCGAUCAGUCGAAAUCAUGCUACAUUAACCGCUAACUUUUCUGUAACCAACCUGAGUCAAACAGAUGAAAUUCCUGUACUGACAGUAAAAGAUAAUUCUAAGUAUGGUACCUUUGUUAAUGAGGAGAAAAUGCAGAAUGGUCUUUCUCAAAUUUUGAAGUCCGGGGAUAGAGUUACCUUUGGAGUGUUUGAAAGUAAAUUCAGAGUAGAGUAUGAACCUUUGGUUGCAUGCUCUUCUUGUUUAGAUGUUUCCGGGAAAACUGCUUUAAGUCAUGCCAUAUUGCAACUCGGAGGACUUACGGUAAACAGUUGGACAGAGAGAUGUACUCAUCUUGUCAUGGUAUCAGUUAAAGUUACCAUUAAAACAAUAUGUGCACUCAUUUGUGGGCGUCCGAUUGUAAAACCAGAAUAUUUUACUGAAUUUCUUAAAGCAGUUCAGUCCAAGAAACAACCUCCAGAAAUUGAAAGUUUUUACCCACCUGUUGAUGAACCAGCUAUUGAAAGUAAAAAUAUUGAUCUAUCAGGACGCCAGGAAAGAAAACAAAUCUUCAAAGGGAAAACAUUUGUCUUUCUAAAUGCCAAGCAGCAUAAAAAAUUAAGUGCAGCAGUUAUAUUUGGAGGAGGAGAUGCUAGGUUGAUAACAGAAGAAAAUAAAGAAGAUGAUAGUUUCUUUUCAGCUCCUGGAACUUGUGUUGUUGAUACAGGACUAACAGAUUCACAGACUUUAGUUCCUGACUCUCAGAAAAAAUGGAUUCAUUCAAUUAUGGAUAUACUCCAAAGGCAGGGUCUUAGACCUAUUCCAGAAGCAGAAAUUGGAUUAGCAGUUAUUUUUGUUACUACAGAGAAUUACUGUGAUCCACAGGGCCAGCCCAGUACAGGACUGAAGACCACAACUCCAGGUCCAAGCCUUUCCCAAGCCUUACCAGCCAAUAAAAAUUUAAUGCCAGAUGCCUCAGUGAAUGCUACAGCAUAUGUAGCUGACACAGAAUCAGAACAAGCAGAUACAUGUAUGGAUGUGAGUGAAAGACCAAAAGAAAUCAAAAUAUUUGGAAUGGAACCAAAAUGUCGAAUACUUUCACAAGAAACGUCCACUGUGAAGAAACCCCACAAAAUAAGCUCUAAUAGUAAUAUAGUGUCAAAUACUCUGGUUAGGAUGAAAAUCCCAAACUAUCAGCUUUCACCGACUAAAUUCCCACAUGUAAAUAAAAGUAGAGGUUGGCCUUCUCAGCAUCAGCAAACCAACUCCAUCAAAGACUAUUUUCAGCCACUUAACUCUCCCAAAAAAAGGGAAAGGGAUGAAGAAAAUCAAGAAAUGUCUUUAUCCAAAUCAGCAAGAAUGGAGAUAUCUUGUUCUCUUUUAGAACAAACACAACCAACUACAUCCUCAAUAAGGAAAAUUAAGGAUGAGCACCUAUCUCAGAAUGUGCUUGUGGGAAAAAACCCAGAUAAUUCAUAUGCAGAUACCAAUUUAAAACCUACUGUGAAAAAUUAUGCCAAUAAGUCUCUUUUUACAGAAAAACUAAAAUCAGAAAAAAGAAAAGAAAUUGAUGAUUUAGCCAUAGAAGAGGAAGUAUUGGAACAGUUAUUCAAGGAUACAGAAUUAGAGUUAGAAAGCGAAGUGAAAGUUCAAAAACAAGAGGAAGAUACCAAUGUUAGAAAAAGGCCACGAUUGGAUAUAGAAACAAAUGCCACUUUUAAUGAUGAAACAAUACCAGAAAGUAACAAGAUAUCUCAAGAAAAUGAAAUUGAGAAGAAGUGUGAGCUCAAGAAAGAAUCACUCUGGUCAACUAAAGAACUAUCUAACAAUGGUGAACCUCAGGAUGGUGAUGAGAUGCUUCCAAAGAAAGUGUUACUGACUGAAUUUCGAUCCCUUGUGGUUUGUAAUUCCACCUCCAGAAAUGCAUCCAGUGUGAAUAAUGAUUAUGGUGAACUAAAGAAUUUCAAGAAAUUCAAAAAGGUCACAUUUCCUGGAGCAGGAAAACUUCCACACAUCAUUGGAGGAUCAGAUCUAAUAGCUCAUCAUGCUCGAAAGAAUACAGAAUUAGAAGAGUGGUUGAGGCAGGAAAUGGAGCCACGUUUUUGA
rnacentral:lncRNA from 1 species